rnacentral:rRNA from 1 species
UACAGAGGGUGCAAGCGUUGUCCGGAAUCACUGGGCGUAAAGGGCGCGUAGGCGGCCUGAUAAGUAGGAGGUGAAAUCCUGGGGCUUAACCUCAGGGCUGCCUUCUAGACUGUCCGGCUCGAGCACAGUAGAGGCAGGUGGAAUUCCCGGUGUAGCGGUGGAAUGCGUAGAGAUCGGGAAGAACAUCGGUGGCGAAGGCGGCCUGCUGGGCUGUUGCUGACGCUGAGGCGCG